GGCAGCAUGAUUUGUAGCAAUACAGAUUGAUGGCGACCGGCGCACGGGUGAGUAACGCGUAUGCAACUUACCUAUCAGAGGGGGAUAGCCCGGCGAAAGUCGGAUUAAUACCCCAUAAAACAGGGGUCCCGCAUGGGAAUAUUUGUUAAAGAUUCAUCGCUGAUAGAUAGGCAUGCGUUCCAUUAGGCAGUUGGCGGGGUAACGGCCCACCAAACCGACGAUGGAUAGGGGUUCUGAGAGGAAGGUCCCCCACAUUGGUACUGAGACACGGACCAAACUCCUACGGGAGGCAGCAGUGAGGAAUAUUGGUCAAUGGCCGAGAGGCUGAACCAGCCAAGUCGCGUGAAGGAAGAAGGAUCUAUGGUUUGUAAACUUCUUUUAUAGGGGAAUAAAGUGGAGGACGUGUCCUUUUUGUAUGUACCCUAUGAAUAAGCAUCGGCUAACUCCGUGCCAGCAGCCGCGGUAAUACGGAGGAUGCGAGCGUUAUCCGGAUUUAUUGGGUUUAAAGGGUGCGUAGGUGGUGAUUUAAGUCAGCGGUGAAAGUUUGUGGCUCAACCAUAAAAUUGCCGUUGAAACUGGGUUACUUGAGUGUGUUUGAGGUAGGCGGAAUGCGUGGUGUAGCGGUGAAAUGCAUAGAUAUCACGCAGAACUCCGAUUGCGAAGGCAGCUUACUAAACCAUAACUGACACU
rnacentral:rRNA from 1 species